rnacentral:sRNA from 1 species
UAUAGUCAUUUGUGACCAUAGGUCGAUU